UACGUAGGGGGCAAGCGUUGUCCGGAAUCAUUGGGCGUAAAGCGCGUGUAGGCGGCUUGGUAAGUCCGCUCUGAAAGCCCGGGGCUCAACCCCGGGAGGCGGGUGGAUACUGUCAAGCUCGAGUCCGGAAGAGGCGAGUGGAAUUCCUGGUGUAGCGGUGAAAUGCGCAGAUAUCAGGAGGAACACCAAUAGCGAAGGCAGCUCGCUGGGACGGUACUGACGCUAAGGCGCGAAAGCGUGGGGAGCGAACAGG
rnacentral:rRNA from 1 species